ACGGGGUGCAGCAGGCGCGAAAACUUUGCAAUGCACGAAAGUGUGACAAGGGAAUCCUAAGUGCUCUGCUUUCAGCAGGGCUUUUGCCAAAUGUAAAAAGUUUGGAGAAUAAGUGGUGGGCAAGACUGGUGCCAGCCGCCGCGGUAACACCAGCGUCCACGAGUGGCAACCGUUUUUAUUGGGCCUAUAGCGUCCGUAGCCGGUUUGGUAGAUUCUUUGUGAAAUUGUCAGGCUUAACCUGCCAACGCGCAGAGGAGACCGCCAGACUUGGAACCGGGAGGGGUUAGAGGUAUUCUUGGGGGAGCGGUAAAAUGUUAUAAUCCCAAGAGGACCACCUGUGGCGAAGGCGUCUAACCAGAACGGAUUUGACGGUGAGGGACGAAAGCUAGGGGAGCAAUCCGGAUUAGAUACCCGAGUAGUCCUAGCUGUAAACGCUGCGAGCUAGGUGUUGCGUAUUCCUAGAGAAUGCGCAGUGUCGGAGCGAAGGUGUUAAGCUCGCCGCCUGGGAAGUAUGGUCGCAAGACUGAAACUUAAAGGAAUUGGCGGGGGAGCAC
rnacentral:rRNA from 1 species